GCUGUUUGUCCAUAAUUCGAGAAACAUUCACAUUAUUUCAACCGCAUCCUGUUACAAGCGCACCCAGUAUACUCUAAACGUGGUUAUUAUUAUUUCUACGGCGAGUCGUUGGUUCAAGAUUUAAAAAUACGCUUGAUGUACCUAAGUAAAUCGGACCAACUCGUUGGUCCGAUCAGAUCCGCACCGCUUUGGACAGUGCAGUGUACAGCGCGCUGCAUGACGCCGUGGACAGGGGAAAGUGGAAAAAGAUCCUAAAAUUGAAGCUCAUGGGUGAUGGUGGUCACGACCCUCAGACAUGAGGAACGCGACUCGAGGAGGACCUAACGUUGCAAGGUCGCGAUAGCCAUUUGCAUUUGCAACUUGCCCGACAAGCUCCACAGACUGCAGCGUAACUCGGACUAGCUCGCACAUGGAGUUAAUAAGUACCUACAACUGGAGUGCUGUCUAAUGCCGAGAAAUAGGUCUCGAAAGAGAAAACUUUUUGGUCGCGGUGUCCUCGUCUAGUGUGGUGACCAUAUAAAAUUUAUUAAAUCUUAAUGUUACAACCAAUCUUUAUUUUGGACUUAUACUAUCGUAGGAUUAGAUAUGUAAUAUUUAUAUAAUAGACUAUCGUAGGAUAGUAUCCUGCUUUUGAAUAAACGGUGUCAUAAGGUUUAAUAUUAGGUCAAACGAGAUCGAAUCCAUUUAUAGAUAAUUUUUCAAAUCUGCUGGUUCUAAAUCACUCAUAAUGUUCAUAUUUGAUAACAUUCGGCACAGCAAUAAAUAUUUCUUCACCGAUA